rnacentral:rRNA from 1 species
UACACUCCUACGGGAGGCAGCAGUGGGGAAUAUUGGACAAUGGGCGCAAGCCUGAUCCAGCCAUGCCGCGUGAGUGAUGAAGGCCCUAGGGUUGUAAAGCUCUUUCACCGGUGAAGAUAAUGACGGUAACCGGAGAAGAAGCCCCGGCUAACUUCGUGCCAGCAGCCGCGGUAAUACGAAGGGGGCUAGCGUUGUUCGGAUUUACUGGGCGUAAAGCGCACGUAGGCGGACUAUUAAGUCAGGGGUGAAAUCCCGGGGCUCAACCCCGGAACUGCCUUUGAUACUGGUAGUCUUGAGUUCGAGAGAGGUGAGUGGAAUUCCGAGUGUAGAGGUGAAAUUCGUAGAUAUUCGGAGGAACACCAGUGGCGAAGGCGGCUCACUGGCUCGAUACUGACGCUGAGGUGCGAAAGCGUGGGGAGCAAACAGGAUUAGAAACCCUAGUAGUCC